AGAGUUGAUCCUGGCUUAGGACGAACGCUGGCGGCGUGCCUAACACAUGCAAGUCGAGCGAGGAGAUCCUCGGGAUGAUCCUAGCGGCGGACGGGUGAGUAACACGUGGGCAACCUGCCUCAUAGAGAGGAAUAGCCUUCCGAAAGGGAGAUUAAUACCUCAUAACAUUGCAGUUUCGCAUGAAACAGCAAUUAAAGGAGCAAUCCGCUAUGAGAUGGGCCCGCGGCGCAUUAGCUAGUUGGUGAGGUAACGGCUCACCAAGGCGACGAUGCGUAGCCGACCUGAGAGGGUGAUCGGCCACAUUGGGACUGAGACACGGCCCAGACUCCUACGGGAGGCAGCAGGUGGGGAAUAUUGCACAAUGGGGGAAACCCUGAUGCAAGCAGCGCCGCGUGAGUGAUGACGGCCUUCGGGUUGUAAAGCUCUGUCUUCAGGGACGAUAAUGACGGUACCUGAGGAGGAAGCCACGGCUAACUACGUGCCAGCCGCCGC
rnacentral:rRNA from 1 species